GAUUGAGGGACUGCUGUGCCUUUGAAAUAGAAAGCCAGCUUUUCCUUUUCACAUUCUCAGGUCUAUGUUUAUCAUCUAUACAAUGUCUUAGAAUGGUGGAUUUGGGUCAUUUGUACCUAUAAAAGUUAUAAUAUACAACUUUCAGCAACGGACCUCUUGGCUCUCGCAUCGAUGAAGAACGCAGCGAAAUGCGAUAAGUAAUGUGAAUUGCAGAAUUCAGUGAAUCAUUGAAUCUUUGAACGCAUCUUGCGCUCCUUGGUAUUCCGAGGAGCAUGCCUGUUUGAGUGUCAUUAAGUUCUCAACUGCAUCAGUUUCCAAUUGGUGUGGCUUGGAUAUGGGGGAUUUCUCUUUGCAGGCUUUCGAAAUUCUUUGAAGGCCUGCUCCCCUGAAAUGCAUCAGCGGUAUCUGAGCAGAGACUACCACAGGUGUGAUAAUUAUCUAUGCCUUUGGUGUACUGCAUGAAUGGAUUACACCGCUUCUAACGAGUGGAAACCUUUUUCACCUUUUGACAAAUUUGACCUCAAAUCAGGUAGGACUACCCGCUGAACUUAAGCAUAUCAAUAAGCGGAGGA
rnacentral:rRNA from 1 species